rnacentral:rRNA from 1 species
ACUCCUACGGGAGGCAGCAGUGGGAAGAUUCACAAUGGGCGGCAGCCUGAUGCAGCCAUGCCGCGUGUAUGAAGAAGGCCUUCGGGUUGUAAAGUACUUUCAGCAGUGAGGAAGGUAGUGUAGUUAAUAGCUGCAUUAUUUGACGUUAGCUGCAGAAGAAGCACCGGCUAACUCCGUGCCAGCAGCCGCGGUAAUACGGAGGGUGCGAGCGUUAAUCGGAAUUACUGGGCGUAAAGCGCAUGCAGGUGGUUUGUUAAGUCAGAUGUGAAAGCCCGGGCUCAAGCCUC